UGCUGAUUUGGCCGUGGGGUUUUAAGCCCUGGAGCGCGGCCAUGGCCGUCUCGAUCGUCUCGGUCCAAUGCUGGAGCGUUCCAUUCGAGGCGAGCGGCGGCAUUGCGGCAUCGGCGCCAUGGAAUUCCAAGGUAAGCGCCGGAUUCCAGCAGGCAUUCUUCCCGGUUCUUGCCAGAGUCCACACCAAGGAAGCAAUCCAGCUCGACUACCUGGCCGAUCAGAACGCGGCGAGGAAAUACACGCCGGCGUGGAGCGAUCACGGCAGCAGGAAGAGCUUUGUGGAGCUGAGCGGGGAUUUCUCGUCCGAGGGAGGCGAUUGCAUCGAUUCGCUAACGCAGCUUCACAAGCAUCUGGAGCAGGAGCCGGCGAUGCACAGCCCGCUGGAGAAGAGCGAUAUGAAGAGGCUGAAUGAGAUUCUCAACGAGAAGCCCAAGAAGGGAAUGCUGGCUCUCCGGGAGAAGUUUGCGAAGCUGGGAAUGAGCUAUAACGUUGAUCCAGAGAAGCUCAUAUCCGGGGAGUAUAUAGUUCACAAGAAGGUUGGAAUUGGCCAGUUUGUGAGCCUCAAGGAGGAAGUUCCAGAGGGUGGAAAAUCGCCACAAAAGUACGUCUAUCUUCGAUAUGCUGAUGGUAUGGCUAAGCUUCCCGCGAAGCAAGCUCGGCGACUUCUCUACAGAUACUUCAGGCCUGGUGAAUCGGUGAAAAGAUAUCCAGCUCUCAGCAAGCUAAAUGAUCGAAGCCAGUGGGAGAAACGAAGGACUGAAGGAAGCUUGGACGCUCAGAGGCGGGUCGUGAAGAUGAUCGAUGUUUAUAUCCGUCGUUUGAAGCAGAAGAGACCCGUGUAUUCGAAGGACGUUCCUGCGAUGAGCAAGUUCGCUGGGAAAUUCCCGUACACGCCAACACCGGAUCAGAUCAAGGCAUUUUUAGAUGUUGAGCGAGACUUGACCGACGCGGAAACGCCAAUGGACAGGCUUAUUUGUGGGGAUGUUGGUUUUGGAAAGACUGAAGUUGCUAUGCGUGCAAUAUUCUACGCAGUCUCCGCAAAGAAGCAAGUCAUGGUUUUGGCUCCGACGACCGUACUUGCUAAGCAGCACCAUGAGAGCAUUAAGGAGCGUUUUGCAAAUUUUCCAGACAUUAAAGUGGCUCUUCUCAGCCGAUUUCAGAACAACGUAGAUAGGAGAGCGGUUAUUGCGGGAAUCAACGAUGGGGUUGUAAACAUUGCUGUUGGAACUCACUCUCUUCUUGGCAACAAUAUACAGUACGAAAACGUUGGACUUUUGGUUGUCGAUGAGGAACAGAGAUUUGGUGUUGCUCAAAAAGAGAAGAUUUCAACGCUGAAGACGACAGUAGACAUAUUGACUCUGUCCGCGACGCCGAUUCCUAGGACACUACACAUGGCAUUAAGUGGCUUUCGAGAUGCAAGCUUGAUGACAACACCACCACCGGAAAGGCGGCCCAUAAAGACACAUGUAUGCGUCUACUCUCAGGACAUGGUGAAAGAUGCCAUCAAGGCUGAACUGGAUCGACGAGGCCAAGUCUUCUAUGUUGUACCCAGGAUUCAAGAUAUGGAGUCCACCGAAAAGAAACUCAAAUUGCUGGUUCCUGGAGUACAAGUAUCCAUUGCGCAUGGCAAGAAAUGUGCAACUGAGCUGGAGGCAACAAUGACCAAGUUUACUGAAAAGGGGACGAGCAUACUCUUAUGCACCAACAUUAUUGAAAGUGGGCUGGACAUUCCAACUGUAAAUACAAUUAUCGUGGAGAAUGUACAGAUGUUCGGACUUGCACAGAUAUAUCAGCUUCGCGGACGGGUUGGGAGAGCAGACAAGGUAGCGCAUGCCUAUAUGCUGCAUCCACCCAAGGAUUUUCUUAGUUCCGAUGCACUGGAAAGAUUGAGUGCACUCGAGGACUGUUGUGCACUAGGCCAAGGUUUCCAGCUUGCUGAAAGAGACAUGGCCAUUAGAGGUAUUGGAAGCAUUUUUGGCGAGAAACAGAGCGGGGAAUUCAGCAAAGUUGGAGUCGACUUGUACGCAGAAAUGCUUUUUGAAGCAAUAUCGAAGGCGCAAUACCAUAGUCUUCCUCAACUAGAGUACGAAGAUGUGCAGCUUGCAAUGGAGUCGAACUGUCAAGUCUGUAGCUUGAGUAGCAUGCAGUGGGAAGCAGUCACUGAUUCAGCUGAGGAAGCGGCGAAAAAAGGUAUCAAAGAUCUUGUUCGUUUUACGGAGAAACUGCGCAGUGAAAGAGGAAAGGAACCACCACCUCUAGAGGCUCUUCUAAAGACCAUUUAUGCGAAGAGAAUGGCAGCAGAUUUGGGAAUUCAUCACAUUCAAACGAGAGGGAAACAAAUAACAAUGCUCACGAACAUGAACGCCGACGCAUUUCAAGUCCUACAUUGUUCCAUGGCCUCCCCACCUUUAAAGUCCUCGCUUAGCUUUUCCAAUGGGAGAUUGGAGCUACACAGUCUAGUAGAGCUUCCCUCGGAGUUUCAGCUGGAAAGGUUGUUUCAAUGUCUAGCUGAACUCCGGCGUGGGUUGGCGUCCUUCCUUACAUACAGAUGAGAACUUAACAAUAAUAGAGGCAAUUGUAUAGCGAGAGCACCCGAGGCCCGUUCUCAUGGUUACGAAAUCCUCGCAACAAUUAUAGCAGUGCCAGGAACCACCAGUGAAUGCGCCUGAAUAGACUACUACCAGAGGAUUUACAACUUCAAAGCCAAGAAAUAUCAGAUCAGUCAGUAAUGUGCGUGAGAGGAGCUGCGAGAAGGGAAUGUUCGGUUAACUUGGACUGCUUUCAUACACAGGUCCCAACUAGAAGAAUCCGUUGUUAAUUCCGUUCUAAUAUCUAUCGAGCUUAACCAGGACAUCGUUUCUCGAGGAGAUAAAGCUACUGCUACGUAGAAACAGGGUGCAUACAUGGAAAGGACGGAACGGUAAAAGAAAGGAAGGAAACAAGCAAAGCAAAGCUCUUCCAGGAGUCAGAAAGAACAGGUUUCCAAGUACUACUCUACUGCUGCUAACACCCAUAAAAGCCGUCUUCUUUCGUUGUCGACGAACAGGGAAACAACCUGUUCGAGGAGCAACCUUCGCAGUGCACGGUCGACAGUACGUCGGGCGAUGCGAGUACCAAAAGUCUAUUUUUUUGAAUGCGGGCAAGAAUUAUGUGUGCAGUGCCACCCAAGCUCCUCUCGCCUCUAUGAUAGACCUUUGGCUCUCUCUGGCAGCUACACUACAUACCCCAGGUUCUGGAUUCUAACACUUCGAUUUGAUAAACCACUUAACUUCAUCACGGGUUUUGCAUUGAAACUCUCUCACUCGUCGCAACUCAUGUAACAGCGCAAAUUCCCGUCGCUCGACCAGCGACGACAGCAGCAGCAGCAGUAGAAAAAAGUGAUCGCUAAGCCCAAGGAUUUUGGAAGCCGAGAUGAAAGGAAGAGCCAUGAGAGUUAGUGUUCCGUGGCAGGAGCUUGGCAGCGUUCCCAUGCGUCCAGUCGAGGGAGCUUUUCUUUUUUCUUUGAAUGGGGUCAACCUGACACUCACAGACCGUGACUCGAAACAAAAAUUCGCGUUUCCCGAGAGCUCGGGCUCCACCUCGGACUCCACAUCGGACACCCGAGAUGGGAAUAUUCGAAAGCGGCAUGUGAAAGAUACCAAGGCAUGGAAUA